AUUCUAGAGCAGAAUCCCUGGGGCAGCCCCUGCUGAAGAAGGGUGCAUCUGUUGAGAAUCUCAUCACCGCCCCCACCCCGCCCAGCCUUCAAUUUAGAGGAAUUUCUAGUUCACGCAGAAUGAAGACAAGAUCACAUAAGUGAGGACGACGCCCCAUUUACAAGUGUGGUUUGGAAGACUGAAGUGGAAACCUUGGGAAGGGGCCUCAGAGUAUGUCAGCUGGGGUCAGACGGGAACAGGAGUCUGGCUCAACACACAUUUAUUGCACUCCUGCUUCAUGCCAAGAAAUGCACCAAAAUCUGGGACUGUGUAACACAGCAAAGGAAAAGACUCAUCUCCAGGAAGCCCCCUUGUCUAGGAAGAGAAAUUGAAUAUCAGCAUAAGGUGGUGAAAAGCUAUGAAGGAGAUGAGUGCCACGAGUCCAUGGAGGAAGGAUUCUAGCCUGGACAGAGUCUCCAUGAAUUGCAAGGGAAAACAAGUGGUACACUGGCAUUUCUAUUUGAUAACCUGUUCUCUUUGGAAUUCCGGUUAGAAAUCAAAGGCUUACUUGAGUUUUAAUGCUUGCAGGACUUCAAAUGCUUUUCUAUCUUCCUAAUAAUAUAUUAACAUUUUCUGAAGACAACAUAUAUCUGGAAAACAACAUUAUUUACUCAAAUAAUUUUUUUUGAAAAAUGGACCAAAAAAAAAAAAAAGAAAAACCAACAAAAA
rnacentral:lncRNA from 1 species